GGUGCUGUGGCUUAGUUGGUUAAAGCGCUUGUCUAGUAAACAGGAGAUCAUGGGUUCAAAUCCCAGCUAGUGCCU
rfam:Alligator sinensis unplaced genomic scaffold scaffold599_1, whole genome shotgun sequence